rnacentral:rRNA from 1 species
GAUGAACGCUGGCGGCGUGCCUAAUACAUGCAAGUCGAGCGAACAGACGAGGAGCUUGCUCCUCUGACGUUAGCGGCGGACGGGUGAGUAACACGUGGAUAACCUACCUAUAAGACUGGGAUAACUUCGGGAAACCGGAGCUAAUACCGGAUAAUAUAUUGAACCGCAUGGUUCAAUAGUGAAAGACGGUUUUGCUGUCACUUAUAGAUGGAUCCGCGCCGCAUUAGCUAGUUGGUAAGGUAACGGCUUACCAAGGCAACGAUGCGUAGCCGACCUGAGAGGGUGAUCGGCCACACUGGAACUGAGACACGGUCCAGACUCCUACGGGAGGCAGCAGUAGGGAAUCUUCCGCAAUGGGCGAAAGCCUGACGGAGCAACGCCGCGUGAGUGAUGAAGGUCUUCGGAUCGUAAAACUCUGUUAUUAGGGAAGAACAAAUGUGUAAGUAGCUACGCACGUCUUGACGGUACCUAAUCAGAAAGCCACGGCUAACUACGUG